rnacentral:rRNA from 1 species
UACGUAGGUGGCAAGCGUUUGUCCGGAUUUAUUGGGUUUAAAGGGUGCGUAGGCGGUCCUUUAAGUCAGUGCUGAAAUACUCCAGCUUAACUGGAGGGGUGGCAUUGAUACUGGGGGACUUGAAUGAAGUCGAGGUAGGCGGAAUUGACGGUGUAGCGGUGAAAUGCUUAGAUAUCGUCAAGAACACCGAUAGUGAAGACAGCUUACUAGGCUUAGAUUGACGCUGAGGCACGAAAAGUGUGGGGAUCAAACAGG